rnacentral:lncRNA from 1 species
CACAGAGGUAGGAUGAAAAAAAUUUCCCCCUUUAAAAGUAUUUCUAAGGCCGGGGAUUUAGCUCAGUGGUUCCACUGCCCGCCUCGCAAGCUAAGGACCAGAGUUCGAUCACCGGUACCAAAAAAAAAAAAAAAGUAUUUCUAAAAGUAGUGGUUUGUGAAUUAUUCAGGAUCCUAAUUUUUACAUCAUUUUGAGUUUACCCUAUGGUAAUCAAAGAUUUAAUACUUUUCUGAAGUAAAGCAUAUUGCAGAGCUUUUCAAAAAUCAAUCUGAAUUUAUUCUAGGUUACAAUCCAUAUUCUUCAAAAAGUGCCCUAUUGUCCUAAGGGUUACUUAAACUAGUAGAUAAGAAUGACAUAAAUAAGAUCUUUUGAGGCUUUCUUUUCUUCUUUGGCAUUAUAUCCUGAGGUACCCAUGUGAGCAGGCUCCUGAGGGCCUUUACUUUUGACAUUGAUUUUACUUUUUUCUGUUCUUUUAGGUCUUUCACUACCAUUCCUACAGUGGUUGCAAGAUUCCGUUUCUUCCUCACUCUCCAUGUACCAUGCCAGUGACAUCUUAGCUGCUAGAGUGUGGAGCUGGCCUGUGGGAGUCAAGUGCACCAGAGGCUCUCUUCCUGGCAGAAUUUGGGAGUUGUUUAUUGCAGUACUGUUGUGCCCUCUGAUGGUGAGUUGUGGCAAACCCAUUUUUUUUAAGUCUUUUUUUUCCCCCUCCUCCUUAGCUCAGUGUUUCCCAUUCUCUGGUGGACAUACAAAUUUAUAAGCUAUACUCUUUCACUUAAGGUGAGUUUGGUGCCAGAAAGAGAAGGGUUAAAGAAGGGAAAUAAAAUCUGAAUGAGGAACUAGUGGAUAUAGAGGGAAAACCAAGAAGAAAAACAAAUGGGCUCAAGACUUCAUAGAUCACAGAAUAUUCACUUACAUUUCAAAAUUGGAGACAUAAUUAAUGUGAAGGUCACAGAAGUAACAUCUUUUGCGUUUCAUAACCACUGGGCUUUCAUGCAAUGAUUACUGAUCAAAUAAUCUCUCCCCUUUGUGGUAUCAGCCUGCACUGAAACAAUUCAAAGU